rnacentral:rRNA from 1 species
UACGUAGGGGGCUAGCGUUGUUCGGAAUUACUGGGCGUAAAGCGCUCGUAGGCGGUUAUUUAAGUCAGGGGUGAAAUCCCGGGACUCAACCCCGGAACUGCCUUUGAUACUGGGUAUCUCGAGUCCGAGAGAGGUGAGUGGAAUUCCGAGUGUAGAGGUGAAAUUCGUAGAUAUUCGGAGGAACACCAGUGGCGAAGGCGGCUCACUGGCUCGGUACUGACGCUGAGGUGCGAAAGCGUGGGGAGCAAACAGG